UUGAUGGUAAGGUAUGUCUUUUUGCUGAUGAUACGAAGAUAUGUAACAGGGUUGAUGUUCCAGGAGGGAUAAGCCAAAUGACAAAUGAUUUAGGUAAACUAGAAAAAUGGUCAGAAUUGUGGCAACUGACAUUUAAUGUGGAUAAGUGCAAGAUAAUGCAUCUUGGACGUAAAAACCCAAGGGCAGAGUACAGAAUAUUUGAUAGAGUCCUAACCUCAACAUAUGAGGAAAGGGAUUUAGGGGUGAUUAUUUCUGAUGACUUAAAGGUAGGCAGACAAUGUAAUAGAGC